rnacentral:rRNA from 1 species
UACGAAGGGGCUAGCGUUGCUCGGAAUCACUGGGCGUAAAGGGUGCGUAGGCGGGUCUUUAAGUCAGGGGUGAAAUCCUGGAGCUCAACUCCAGAACUGCCUUUGAUACUGAAGAUCUUGAGUUCGGGAGAGGUGAGUGGAACUGCGAGUGUAGAGGUGAAAUUCGUAGAUAUUCGCAAGAACACCAGUGGCGAAGGCGGCUCACUGGCCCGAUACUGACGCUGAGGCACGAAAGCGUGGGGAGCGAACAGG